GACCCUCAGCCAGCCAGGGUACAGAGAGAGACCCUCAGCCAGCCAGGGUACAGAGAGAGACCCUCAGCCAGCCAGGGUACAGAGAGAGAGACCCUCAGCCAGCCAGGGUACAGAGAGAGACCCUCAGCCAGCCAGGGUACAGAGAGAGAGACCCUCAGCCAGCCAGGGUACAGAGAGACACCCUCAGCCAGCCAGGGUACAGAGAGAGAGACCCUCAGCCAGCCAGGGUACAGAGAGAGAGACCCUCAGCCAGCCAGGGUACAGAGAGAGAAACACCCUCAGCCAGCCAGGGUACAGAGAGAGAAACACCCUCAGCCAGCCAGGGUACAGAGAAGACCCUCCAGCCAGCCAGGGUAGAGAGAG